GUGCUUGCUUCUGCAGCACAUACACUAAAAUUGGAAUAAAUGAAAGAUUAGCAUGGGCCCCGUGCAAGGAUAACAUGCAAAUUCAUGAAGCGAUUUAAAUGUAA
ensembl:snRNA U6 U6 spliceosomal RNA